CGAGUCCUUCUGCUGGAUGAAGCUGGGCUUCAUGGCAACACAGACAGGAACUAAGAAGAAGCCCUUUAACUAGAGAAGUAGCUACAGAACCAGCCCCAAGAACGUCGAGAACUGACACUGUUCCUGUUUUGAAGAUGUUUUUUUGGUAACACAGUGAAGUUGAAAUCUAAAAGAUUAUGUCAAUUCAUGGUGAUGUGGACCGAAGAAGGUAUAAUG